rnacentral:lncRNA from 1 species
AGAACAAGAAUUUAGAAGGUAGAAUUAACACCUGAAACUGAAGCAUGUGGAAGCAUUUGGCGAAAGAAUUGCUGUUUGAAAAGAGGCUAAACUGCAGCUGGAAACUUGGCAUGGAAGCCCAAAAGCCCUGGGUCUCAAGUCUGUGUAACGUGGAGGUGGGCUGAGAUGAUUUCAACACCUUCUGCUUCAAAUUCCCAUUUGCUGGUAACUAGGAAGGCUGUGCUAUGGGAAGGUUGAAGAGGACAGCUGCAGGUGACAAGAGGUGGGGCCAGUACGGAUUAUGGUGGAAAUCUAUGUUUACCAUUAAACAGAGGCUGGAACUAGUUAACUCUGAGGAAAAGUCAGGAAGUAACCACACACUUAGUCUGCAUAGUUGUUGCGUUCAGAUUGUUUUGGAGUGAACAUAAGGCACCAAGAUUUAGUGAAUGAAAGAUGAGACAAAGAGUCAAAAUGCUGGAACUUAACAGACUCAUUUCUAUCAGUGGUCUUGGCAUGGACAAGGCACUGAAUCUCUCUAAGAGGCAGUGUCAUUAUCUAUAAAAGUGUAUCUGCCUUGUUGUCCUCAAUUCCCCAAACAUUAAUCUGUGCCAAAUGUGAUGCUAGGGACAAAGAUGAGGAAUGAGUGGCCCCUACCUUGGGGAGGCCACAGUCUUCCAGUCUCCCAAGAGACAGCAGGAGAAAUAGAAAAGGAUGAGGCAUUGACACGUACUGUGUUCCAGACUCGGUGCUUCACACAUGUGAUCUCAUUUAAAUAUUUUAUAAAGUGAUCGGGCAGGUAUUAUUAUUUCCUCUCUCAAGGAUGAAGCGAUGAAGGCUCAAAGAAGGAUUCCAAGGUCAUCAUUUGGGUAAAUGGGGAAGCCAUGUCUUGAGCCCAGGUAUGUCAUCCCUUAAAUCCCAGGAUUUUCCCAACAUCCCCCACUGUUCAGGAGAGAGAGAGAUGGGUAAAAAACUCACCUUAUAUGUUUGAAGGCCAGCAUCGAUUGGAACCCAGGGAGGAGGCAGAAAUGUUUUUUCUGAGUUUAAAAAAUGUUGACAUAUGGGGGAAGAUGAAAAAGGGCAUUUAGGAAAUUCAGGUAGUAUGAUUUGUGUGACAGUGGAUUUUCUUCAGCUGCAGACAGAAUCUGAGGGUGUGAAAUUGCAAAGGUAACCUUCUCAUCCUAUAUAGCCUUUCCCACUAAGGAGUCUGGGCACAUGCAAGCUGUGUGCAAAAGCAUCAUCUAUCCCUGGGGAGAUGAAAGGGUGGCCUUAAUGGGACAGGAGGAAAAUCAAUAAUGUAUCACUUUGGAGCAAGGAGCUGGGUGACCAAGCACAAAAUGUCAGCAGCCUGACAAGGCAAAGGCAGCCUUGGCCUGGGGCAACUGAUAUUGAUUGUAAUAAGCCCAAAACAAUUAGCUUAUGAAUCUGCCUCCCAACUACUUUGCGUUCCUUCUCAAAAUACGUACUUUUAGAUCCACAAUGAACCAUUGCCCCCUGGAAGGCUGGUUCUGCUAUUUGGAAGGACAUGAAGAGUCAUGCCACAUGGCUGUUAGCUCCUCAUCACACAGGGUUUGGCAAAAGGAAGAAGGGGUUUUAGAAUGUCUGAGGCCUACAGGAUCACAGGCAGGGUCAUACAAAUGACAAACAACAUUGUACUGGCAUUGAACUUAAAUUCUAGAGUCCUGAGUGUUAGUUCUAGAGAAGUCAUUAAUUUGACGUGUAACUUUGAGAAAGUCACUUUACCUCUCUGGGCCUGUUUCCUUGCCUUUAAAAUGAAAGGAAUAAGCUAAAAAUGUUCUUUAUAUGGCUUGUUUUGGUAGAUGCAUACUUUUGGGGUGUGUUUGUGUGUCUGCGUUUGCAUGUGUGUUCUCUCUGAGGGAUCACAACUAAGAAUCGUUGACUCUAUCCCUCCUUGGCUCAUAGAAUGUCCCUUGCACAAUUUUGUGCGUAGGAAUGUGCUGGAUGCCUGAGAUACAAUAUACACGUGAUAGUUAAUGUUAUGUGCCAAUUUGGUUGGGUAACAAGUGCACAGAUAUUUGGUCAAACAUUAUUCUAAGUGUGUCUGUGAGGGUGUUUCUGGAUGAGAUUAGCACUGGAAUCAGUAGACUGAGUGAAGUAGAUGGGCUCCCUGUGUGGGUGGGCCACAUCCAAUCACUUUAAGUCCUGAUGAGAACAUAAAAGUUGACCCCUUUUUGAGUAAAAGGGAACUCCUACUUGACUGCCUUCUGGCUGGGACGUUAUUUCUUUUUUCAGCCUUCGUACUGGCACUGCAACAUUGAACAUUCUAAUUCUCAGACCUUCAAACUCAGACUGAAACUAUACCAUUGGCUUUUCUCCAGCUUGCUAACUGCAGAUUUGGGGACUUUUCAGCCUCCAAAAUCAUGUGAGCCAACUCGUUAUAGUAAAUCACCUCUCUCUUUCUAUGUGUAUAUAGAUACACACACGUAUAUGUGUGUGUGUGUGUGUAUGUGUCUGUAUGUGCACAUGUGUAUUUUAUUGGUUCUAUUCCUCUGGAGAACCCCGAUUAAUACAAUAAAUAAGGCAACAUGUCAAGAAGUGUGUUCCCUACUUGCUUCUUGGUCUGCUGCUCUCAGAACCUUCUGUGGAACAGGAGAUGGAAUUUUGCCAUAAACAGUGGUUCCUAAACUUUGUUGCACAUAAGCGUCAGCUGGGGAGUUUAAAAAAUCUCAAUGCCAAGAUUACACCCCAGAUCAACGCAGUCAGAAUGUCUGGGGUGGGGCCCAGGCAUCAGUAUAGUUUAAAGAUUCCCAGGUCAUUCAAAUGUUCAACAAAGCUUGGGCACCACUGCCUUGAAAUAAAAUUUGAAGGUCUGAUGCAACUUUUAAUGAUUUCAGAUAUACAAUUGAACUUUGACUAAAAUAUCACGGGAAAAGCUUCAUCCUUCCAUAUAUUGAAGUGACUUCAAAUAAUGAUAAUUACCAUGGAUUGAGCACCUGUUAUAUGCCAGGCUUUAAUCUCCAUGAAGUUCAACUGUUUUAAUUUUUAACUCCUACAAAUGAGUGAGAACUUGUGAAGUUUGUCUUUCUGUGCCUGGCUUAUUUCACUUAACAUAAUGACCUCCAAUUCCAAUCAUGUUGUUGCAAAUGACAGGAUCUCAUUCUUUUUCAUGGCUGAAUAGAUUCUGAAUUCCUUCUCUGUGGUAUCUUGAAUUUCUCUGAGCUUCCUCAAAACAGCUAUUUUGAAUUCCCUGUCUGAAAGGUCACAUAUUUCUGUCAUUCAGGGAUUGGUUGCUAGUGCCUUAUUUAGUACAUUUUGUGAGGUCAUGUUUUCCUGGAUGGUCUUGAUGCUUGUGGAUGUUUGUCCAUGUCUAGGCAUUGAAGAGUUGGGUUUUUAUUGUAGUCUUUACACUUCAGGCUUGUUUGUAUCUGUCCUUUUUGGUAAAGCUUCCUAGGUAUUCAAGGGGAAUUGAGUGUUGUGAUCUAAAUCUUUGGUCAUUGCUGCCCUAUCUGCAUUAUAAGGCACCCCAAGCCUAGCAAUGCUGUGUCUCUUGCACACUUGUAGAGCUCUAACUUACAACUAACUCCUCGGAUUUACAUACAUUGUGACGUUUCAAGUACUGUGGAAACAGAUCAGGCUCACAUAGCAAAAUAAUUCUUAUUAUCUGUACUAGUAGAAAAUUUCAGCUACUGACACUCAUUGGAUAGCCUAAUAUUUUCCCUAAAUGUUUCAAUUCUUCUCUUUAAUUGGAAGCAGAAAAUCUUAGCUGAGCCCUGGAUGCCUGCAGGAUGUAAGUAGGACAUUUUUAGUAAAAUUGGUAUGCUAAGAUUAUAAACAUAGAGAACAUUUCUAGAUUACCUCAAGAAUCACAAAAACCAAGUUAAUAGUACACCACCUUAUUGAUGGGAAAACACGGAUCAUAUUUAAGUUUGGGGCUGUCAGAGGAGUCAACUAUAGUGGUAGAUCUAUGGGUUUAACAGUCAUAUAUGUUCAUAGGAAUGAUGAGCUUAAUUUUCUGCUGUUGGUAGUGUGUGUGUGUGUUAUAGGUGCACAACAUGCUCACACCCACAUAAUCAGUUAUCACUUAAUCAAUUAACUAUUGGGGCAAGCUAGUCAAAUUUAGUGGUAUGCUGGAAGCAGCAGUAGUGGCAGCUGCAUUUUGAUCUGUGCAUCCUCGCCCAAGGAAAGGAAUUUACAGCCAAUAUUGGUGCAUUAAAAUCAUCAGACACUGUAACAUUAGUUGGCUUUGUGGUAACCUUAUAAAGGAAAGGCAACCAGCGCUAAAAAGGUUUUUAAAGUAUCUAUUUGCAGUCCCCCUCCACUUUCUUAACCAUUACCUGGUAAAAUCCCUUUUUCUGCCGACACUGUUUAUCAGAUUAUGUAUCCUAUAAAAGUAAAACACUGCCCUUGCCUGGUGAGAAUAUAUUCUGUUCAUAAUCCUGGUAAGUUUACAUAAGUGGAUGCAUAAACUAUGUUCUGCACACUACAAGUGAUUUGAAUGCAUACGGGAUGAGGUAAAGAAAGGCUUUGUUUUCCUACUUAACAUACUAUUGGGAAUCUUGGAGUGGAGAGCAAUGAAGCAAAUUAUUACAUCCAUGAAUCUCAGAGAGGUCAUGGGGACUCAAGGGAGUGAAUCAUCUCAUUUAUUCAGCAGUGCGGAGUUACAAACAUCUCGAUAUCGCGAUUGUUCACGUAACUGAAGGUCGUUUCUGUGAAUGCCAAAACUUUCAAAUUUCUUACCUUUCUGAAAUAAUUUCUAAAGGUAUGCAUUGCAGACCUCCUUAUCUUCUUAAGUGUUUGCAGACAUUUGUGACAUUUUAGAAACUUAUGAUUAUUGUUUGGGGUAAAUGCCUACUGAUAUCACUUUUACGUAUAGCAGCUGCUUCAGGGGUGGACAUGGGCUGCCGUAUUUGCCCUGGGGUGCCAUUCUCUCCAGUCACAACUGGUGGAACUAGAAAUGUGUACCUGAAUCAGUCCAAUCCGACAAAUUUUUUUUUUUUUUUUGAGAAUUCAGAUUUGAGGUACAAAGACACUUAGGUAAGGAGAUGCAAGGUGAAAACUGUGUUAAGUCUUUCAAGGCUGCAGUCACACCAGGGCCAGACAAUGCCAUAUGCAAGCUGAACAGAAAGCACGGGUAAGCAGAAGAGCAGAUUAUGUAGACAAGAGAUGGUGCACAAACAAAGAGGCCGCCUUCAGGCAGGGUAACAGGGCCACGUGACCCAAAACUGAAGGACUUCCGUACAAAGAACUGCCUCUAGGGUUUUGUCUUGUUUUGUUUACCAUCAAAGAGAAUUGAUGAAAUUGUCAGGCACUUGGGAACUCCCUGACAUCCACUUCAUCUGCUACUUUAUUUCAGGCUCCUUUCCUUCCCUGAAACUAUUCACUGGGUUCCUAACACAGUCCCCACGUUCUCUAACUUGGCCUUUGUGUAUGCUUGCUAUUCCUUCUGCCUGAAAAUUUCUUUUCUUCCUCUUAGCAUGUUCCCUGUGUGCAAUUCUGCUAAUGCUUCAAGACCCAGAUAAAAUAACAUUUUCUUUAACAAGUCUUCCUUGGAUCAUCAAGCCAAGGGAAACUCUCCCUCUCUUGAAACAAUAGCAUUCUAGGUCAACCUCUGCCAUCAUUGCUGCCGCCCUCUAUCUGGUAUUAGAACAAUCCACACACAUUCAUUUCCUCUGUUAAUUCAUUACUCUCCUCUGUGAACAAGAUCUCUUUCUGAUUGUCAAUGGACUCUCCAAUACUAGUGCCUUGCACAGAACACAGCACAAAGUAGCUGUCCAUUAAAUUAUGUAUUUUUUUUAGGAGACAGGGUCUCACUAUAUUGCCCACACUAGACUCAAACUCCGGGGCUCUGGGGACCCUCCGGCCUCAGCCUCCAAGGUAGCUGGCACUAUGGGCUCCUGCCACUAUUUCUAUUACAAUGAAUGAAAGAAUGAAGAUCUAAUCAGCUACAAGAAUUCAGGAUUGGUGUUUUUGAUUUAUACUAAAUCUUGCCAUAAUUGGAUAAAAUCAUGUGCUCAGAUAUUCCUUUCUUUCCCACAGCUACCCAUCUUUGAAAUAAACUAUAUGUGUUUGUCAAGCCAUAGGGGUAACCAUUUUCCCUUUAAUCUUAUAAUAAAAAAUGAAAAAAUCCUAGCAUCAUCUGAUUUUUGAGCUGGAGCUGUCUUGCUGUUUCCAGGGUAAUCAAGUGGGUCCCGAAGGAGCUGAACACAUGGUUUAGAAGCUCCCCAGGGCUGGGGCUGAGUCCAGAGCAGGAACAGGUCAUGACGAAAAUCUGUGCUGGGUGACUUAGCAGUUAUUUCCCAUUGAUCAUUCAGAGCUCUGUUGAUGAAAGGAGCCAAAUAAAACACUUUUGAAGUGGUAGCAUUGCAAAGAGGGGGUGAAGACUGAAUAACUUUGAUUUGCCCCGUCUCUUAUUUGAUUAAAAAAGCUGGAAAGGAGGGAACAGGAAAAAAGGAAAAAAAAUAAUUAUCCCAAGCUCCCGAGCCAAUGACGUCCUUGCUCUCCCUGUGCACUAAGUGCAGCAAAGUGCAUAGCGAAUGCAUAAGCAGGAAUUUUUAAUAUGCGUGAUAUAAUUAAGUGGUGUUGGUUCACUGAUUUCCUAGCAUUAUUCUGCACAUCUCUCUCAAAGGAGCUAUCCCAGUGAAAUGAGAUUUUAAUAAAAAGAAGCUGUAUGGUAUAUUGUUGAACAUUCAGGACACUUCUGCCUUUCCCGGUGAUGCUGGGCUGAGAACACAAUCCUAUUUGAAAAUAUGAUGUUUACAUACAAAUAUAAUAUGCCAG